rnacentral:lncRNA from 1 species
AUUUAAUUGAUUUGACCAAGACAUAUUGGGGAGCUUGUGGCAGAGCUCUAGAGCAAACUUAAAUGUACUGCUUUCAUAGACCCAGGCCUCAAUCACAGCCAGGAUCACUUGGUGUGGUUUUAGGACAUGUACACAUAUAUAGAUGCAAUUAAUCCAAGCAUGAUGGGGAGAAAGGAGUAAGCCCUUUAGCCCUCUGGAUAAGCCUGAGGUCUGUGCUGUCGAUAACCAUGAGGUCAAGCAAAAGGGAUGACAAACGCAUUCACUUUGCUGAUGUGUGGGCUCAGCACAAGUGAAGCUGGAGGAGGUGUGCUGUCUUCCUCGCAGCCAUUGCAGGAUCCUGGGGAACAGGACACAGUGGGGUGGCUCGGGGACAGGAGGGGAACAGCCUGGGUACAUCUGCUUUUUACUUUGAGUCCUUGUUAUCCCAGCCCUCAGUGAUCUCUGGCAAUGGGUUCAUGAUCUCUAUCUUCUGGGGACCACGUUUGCUCCCACGAUAAAUGGGCAAUUAUUCCUUUGUAUCGCUGUGCCUGGACAAUUGGACCUCCAUCUCUGAUAUGAACACAGGUCCAGAAUGGGAGCCUCUUUGGCUGGCUCUUCCAUCUGGAACAUACCUCUCCAAGACUGUGCCUGAGCUAUCGAAGAUGGUGAUAUUAUCUUGGUCUCUAGAUGAUGAGUCCAAUAAAGACCUAACAACUGGUGCUAUAAAAGUUUAUAUUCCCAAGAACAGAAAUCCUGGAUUUAAACUACUUGGAUCGCUUCCCCAUCAACAUUAG